rnacentral:rRNA from 1 species
AUUGAACGCUGGCGGCAUGCCUUACACAUGCAAGUCGAACGGCAGCACGGGUGCUUGCACCUGGUGGCGAGUGGCGAACGGGUGAGUAAUACAUCGGAACAUGUCCUGUAGUGGGGGAUAGCCCGGCGAAAGCCGGAUUAAUACCGCAUACGAUCCACGGAUGAAAGCGGGGGACCUUCGGGCCUCGCGCUAUAGGGUUGGCCGAUGGCUGAUUAGCUAGUUGGUGGGGUAAAGGCCUACAAAGGCGACGAUCAGUAGCUGGUCUGAGAGGACGACCAGCCACACUGGGACUGAGACACGGCCCAGACUCCUACGGGAGGCAGCAGUGGGGAAUUUUGGACAAUGGGCGAAAGCCUGAUCCAGCAAUGCCGCGUGUGUGAAGAAGGACUUCGGGUUGUAAAGCACUUUUGUCCGGAAAGAAAUCCUUGACUCUAAUACAGUCGGGGGAUGACGGUACCGGAAGAAUAAGCACCGGCUAACUACGUG